UGUAGACUCGAAGUUGCAAUUCUUUGCUGACCCUGAACAAACCCAUUUUUUUGCUGGAGAAAUAACUGGCAGUCUAUUUGUUUUUGGUAACAUUUUGGUGGCCUGUACAGGGACCAGAGUAGACCCCUGACAGCUUGGGAGCUGGUGAGUGAGCAGGACUGCCAAGAUUUGAUGCCCACUUCCUGCUACUUCUUUUCCUGCCUCCGUUGCUGUCGCAGAAAAUCCCCUUCCUACUGCCCUCCUUUUACUGCCUUUAACAGGAUUGAGGAGUACCAAAGAAAAGGUGGGAUUAAAACCAAGCAGGACCCUAUGAGGUCCUCCCAG